UUUCAGGUGAUACUGCCUCCCUUCAUCGCUCCUCUGGUUUGAAAUUUCGAGAGACGCAUUGCUCCUCCUCCUAUCUAUCUAUUUCUCUCUUUCACUCGCGUGAUUUUCUCCUCCCCUCCAUUUUCCCCCAGUGGUUUGCGGCACGAUUCGGGCGUGGGUUCGCCAGAGAUCUGGACCGCCGGAGGUGGCUCCAAUGACCAACGUGGGUGCACGAAAUGGAAUUCAAACCGCGGUACGCGCAUGAAAAUGGGAUGCAGAUGGCGUCGAUGAAGUUGAAGAAGGAAGACAUGUGAAACGGGUGAAGAAAGGCCAACAUGAGGUAUGGUGGACUCUCAUGGCAAAAACUGGGUUUAAGGAUAUUUGGAAGCACAACUAGUAUCUCUACUUGGUGCAAGGAAUUUGGCUAGCAUGAG